rnacentral:rRNA from 1 species
GUAGGUGGCAAGCGUUGUCCGGAAUUAUUGGGCGUAAAGCGCGCGCAGGCGGUUCUUUAAGUCUGAUGUGAAAGCCCACGGGCUCAACCGUGGAGGGUCAUUGGAAACUGGAGAACUUGAGUACAGAAGAGGAAAGCGGAAUUCCACGUGUAGCGGUGAAAUGCGUAGAGAUGUGGAGGAACACCAGUGGCGAAGGCGGCUUUCUGGUCUGUAACUGACGCUGAGGCGCGAAAGCGUGGGGAGCAAACAGGAUUAGAUACCCUGGUAGUCCACGCCGUAAACGAUGAGUGCUAAGUGUUAGGGGGUUUCCGCCCCUUAGUGCUGCAGCUAACGCAUUAAGCACUCCGCCCGGGGAGUACGGCCGCAAAGGCUG